AUCCCAUCUUCUGAUAACUUUGGCCCCAAGAAUUGUCAUUAUAUUCUGUAGAAUUGAUGAAAAUGUAAGAUAAGUAAAUAAAUAAUUAGCUAAAAGACGAAAGCCAAUCGUAAGAAGACCAAUAAGGAAAGUGUGAAUAUGCUUUUUAGAUUAAUGAAAAAGAACUAAUUUGCAUUCUUACCUACCAACAACAUGAAAUUAUGAUCAAAUACACUAACCCAAAAGACUCAAAAGCAAUGCAGCUAGAAGAGAGAGAUGGAUAAUUAAAAUAGGAGAAAUAGGAAAUAUCCAAGUUUUAAUACUUUUAGCCAAUUUUAUAGCUCCUAUCACCUCCACCUCAUUUGAAGCACUUGAUAUUGGACAAAUGUUCAAGUAACAAACAAUAUUAAACAAUAAGAUUUACGAAACACUUGAAAUCAAUAUAAAAAUGGAAGGCAAGAGUCAGAAAGUCUACAAAAGUAUUUUAUCGAACACCUAAAUUACAAAAUAUAUUUUCACAGUAUCGGAAGUAAAAUAACCAUGGAAGCAAAUAAAAAUAUCAUUAAAUCAACACAUGAAUGCAAAAGCACAAGCAGAUUAACCACCAUACGAAUAACAAUAAUCAGAUUUCAAUUGCAAGAGGUUAGCAUUUAAUAUGGCGAUAUUAAAAUUACAUGUAUGAUAUCAGUUCGCAUAUUUCGUUCUCCAUGAUGAACCUCAAGAUAAGGGCUUCACAAGUGAAAAAAUAUUUUGAUUUUUUGCAAGAAACAUCUCUCAAGUCUCAAUUCAUUGUGGAUAGGCUAUCCCCCAUCAGUGAGAAUAGGUAUAUAGCGAGUAUCGAGAGAGAAAGAGAGAGAGAGACGAUGAAGUUACCUAGGAUGGUUGCUGGUGAUGGCAAGACAGAGAGUAGUAGGGCAGCAGGAAAAUGAGAGCAUUUACAGUGCCUACUGAAAUAAUUUCGUGAUAUAUAAUGAAGAUCUAAAAAGUAUUGGAGGGAAAAGGUGAUUGAUGUCGAAAACAUUGGAGAGACAGAUUUCAAAA
rnacentral:lncRNA from 1 species